ensembl:lncRNA
GUUUCUUAGGCAGCUAGAAGAGGCAGAGUUGGAGCAGGGCUCUGGUACCUGGGGGAGGGGUGGUCCCAGAGAUGUGUCCAGGACCCCAAGAGGCUGCUCCCUGGGGCAGCAGGGCCCUCGGGGGACUUUGUACCCAGGCAGAGCUCAGACUGAGGCCUUGGGGACCACUGAGUUCCCAUGCCCCUCUCCCUCGCCCAGCCCUGCAGCCCUGUGUACUGGGCAGAGCUGAGCCCAGGCAGGGGUUCAGCAAAAGGGAGACAGGCAGGAAGAGACGGAUCUAAGGGGUCUAAGUAACAUGGUUUAUGCCAUCAGAGGUUAGUGUGUUAAAAACCCACUGGUGGGGGCCGGGGAUUUACCUCAGUGGUUUCACCACCUGCUGCGCAAGCACAAGGACCCGAGUUUGAUCCCCGGUACCAAAAGAAAACAAAAGCAAAACCAAAAAAACCCCACUGGUACUGGCCAUCUUUGUGUGACUCCCAGAGAGCCAAAAGAAGGGAAAAUGAAACUAAGAAAACGCUGCCAAGCCAGUAGAUUGUAUGGAUGGGAGGAAUAAACUCAAGGGAGGAUGGGCUGUUCGCAGGAGCAUAAAGUCAGAUGUCAGGAAUGAUUACAGACACCUUCAUCAUGGGGCAAGUGAGAAUUCAAGAGGAAAAGCAACAAAAUGUACAAAGAGGAUGAUAGUGCACAUGGCUAGAACUUCCUAUCCAUCAGGAAGGUGCAAUAACCCGAACAUCUACACAACAUUUGUCAGGGCAGCUUUGACAUCUGCAGUGGUGGUGAGUGGCUGGAAACCCUCGUCUCAGGGAUUUUAGUCAGCCAUGGAGAUGAGUGGACGGCAGGCGCGUCUCUCCCGGGGCUGUGGAGCUGAGUACGCUGUUGAGCAACCACAGCAGGUGCAGAAUGCUAUGCACAGGGUCCCGCAGGCGGAUUUAAUAUCUAAAGCCAGUACUGCGUAACUUUCAUGGUCACAUAAAUAUGCAGUGAAGGUACAGAGCGUGCUCGGGAAUGGUGAACAGCAGAGCUGCGUUGGGGCUCCUCUGCAGAGGGAGGUCGGGUGGAAGAGCGGAAGUGUGUUCAUUCCAUCCCGGACAGCAGUCAGCACAGACACGGGAGCUUGAAGCAGCACCACCUUGCCUCUGUUUCCUGUAGUCGGAAGUCCGCAUGAGGGUUAGCAAGAUCCUCUGGCAAAACAAGGUGCUGGCCGGGCUGUGGGCACACGUAGGGCCCCAGGUCCUCCUGCAAGGUCACUCCAGUUGUUGGAAGAAUCCAAUUCCUUCAGCUGGAGGAUUCUUCUUUUUUUGUUUUUUUGAUGGCCAUUGGCUGGGUCUUUCUCAUCUCCUCGAGGCUGAUCUCACGUCCUGGCUCUGCAGCCGUCUCCAUAAAUGUUACCUUUUUACCAUUAAUAAUUUAAUUUAAAAAUUUUUUUUUUUUGGAACCGAGGAUGGAACUUGGGACCUUGUGCUUGCGAGGCAGGCACCAGAACCACUGAGCUAAAUCCCGGCCCGAUGUUACCUUUUUAAUCAGGGUACCAAGAGUGCAUUGGCUGUGGCUUUGAACCCCUCUGACUUUCAACUCUGGAAACUCUUUUUAAAAUCACCUGAUUAAGUCAGGCCCACCCACCUCAAGGGGAGGGGAUCACAGGAUCUGCACCCCAAGGGUCAGGAGUCGCCAGUGCUGUCUUAGAACCCACAGGAAGGAUGCACAGUGGGUACCAAUUGUGCUGCAGACUGUACUGAAAAUAUCUACAGCCAACAUGGCUUCAUGUUAAGGUCUCUGGAAAGUAGCUGGUGGAUACCAGGGGUUUGAUUUUCUUAUUCUUUUCUCCUACAUUAUUGAAAAUAUUUCACACAUACAAAAUUAAUGAACUAAAACACCAAAAUGCACCCUCUAUUAAAGGAGUAAAGAAAUUAUAAAUUAUUUAGAAAUAAAUAAUAAUGAAUAUUAAAACCUGAAUAAUAUAGACAUUACACAAUUAGAGAAAAAUUUACAGCCUACAUUAGAUAUACUACAAACAAGAGAAACUGAAAAUCAGUGAAAUAAUUUUACAACUAAAAACAGUGGAAAAGAAACAACAAAUUAAAUCUGAAGAAAGGAGGCAUUAGUGAAGAUAAAACUAGAAAGUAAUGGUCAAAAUAAAAUAUUGGAUGAAUGAGCACAACUUUCCCCUUGAACAGGCGUGGCUUAGUUACUUUUCUCAUUGCUGAGACAAAAUACCCGAUGCCCACAAGUUAAGGGAGGACAGGUUCAUUUAGCUCACAGUGUGUGGAGGUUUCCGUCCAUAGUCGGUUGGCUCCAAGGCAGGGGGGCCUGGCAGAGGAGGAGCAGCUCAGAGAAGCAAGGGCCCUCAGCAGCUGCUUUCUGCCACCUUUAUAGUCUUUCUUGGGUACUGGGAUCAGGGCAGGUGCACAACCAAUCAGGACUGAUUUAGUAAUCACACACCCUUAAUCCUAGCAUUGCACCAUGAAUCAGUCACACACCUUAGAUCCAGCCACCUCUGAAAAAGCUCCAUCUCUGACCACUUGAGGCUUGUGGGGACAGCUAGACACAGCCAUAACAAGGCUGGUAAAUAGAUAAAAAGUUGGCAAGCCUGAUCGAGAACAAAAGUGGAAACUUAGAAGACAAGGGAUGUAGUUCCAGGAACAGAGAAUAUUUUAAAACUAUAAAAGAAUGAUAUUGUGUGGCAAUAUUAUUCAAACAUCUAUGUGAAAUGGGUGCUUUCUAGAGAAAUAUUAGAGUUGCCUCUAAAAAAGAUACCAGGCCCCGAUGGUUUUAUGGGAGGAUUCCCUAAGCCUCAAAGGCACAGAUAAUUCCCAUGUGAAGGGAAUCAUGUUCCCAGCAUGCUCUAUGAGUGGUGUAUGCUGAUAUUAAAACAACGCAAGGAUAGGAUAAGCAAGGAAAAUGGUAAUUUCACUCUGUAAUUCAAUACAUUAGGAAAUAGAUUUAUGAAUUUAAUAUAUGACAUAAUGUUUAAUAUUUAACUCAUGUUUAUGCAUAAACGUAAGAGCAAGAAUCAAGCUAUGACAAAGCCGGGGAACUACAGUCACCAUCUCACAUCAGGAGCUGGGAUCACAGAGACCUGCAGAGCUGCCUGCGGGGAGGAGGGCAGGUCUGCUGCCAGCUCACUUGCCUCUGGUGGUGGUGUGGGCUGUGGCUGGGUGAAGUGGGGCACCCAGGAGUGUGUCUGCAGAGGCCAGUAAGGGUUUCCACCGGAAGUGAGGAUCCUGGCCGUUGACAUGGCAGUUGCUCUUGGUGAGGCAGAUGCUCCAGAAGGGGAUGGGCAGAGAAGUGGACACAGCCCAGACCUGGGAGAUGCCAGGCAUGGCUGCUAUCCUCGUCCUUGCAGGGAGGGUGGGUGCAUCCACUUGGCCUCUUUGCCUCCACGCGGGACCCAGGAUUUGUCCUGGGGUGUCUGCAGCAGGCUGGGCACUGUGGCCAGGCUGGUGGCUUGAGGACUGGCAGGGACGGCAAGAGACCUGAACUCUGUUGGGAGAGCCUCAGUCUUUCCCCACAUCUGUCCUCCACCUCAGCCACAGGUGUCACACAGAGAGGCCCCUGGAGCCCCUGCAGCUUGACUCUGCCCACGAGCCAACAGGGAGAUGCUUCUUCUUAUCACCCUCAUUGCUCUGACUGUGGCUGGAGUCCCAGCCCCACCUCUGCCCUCUCACCUCUCUGGGAGCAGGCGAGAGAUCAUCUGCCCAAGAGAGGACGCCUUUCCAGGGAGGAGCGCACCGAGGGGGCCCUGCCAGCCCCUGGGGUCCUCACCUUGCCUUCUUCAAGCAGGGACAGGACGGCCUUGAAGGAGGGAGCUGCAGGGUGCCCAUCCCUUCAGGAUGCCAGCCAUCAUGAGGAGGGCCCACCUCAGUUUGCCUCUGCCAAGACCCUGCCUGUUAAUCGCAUCGCUUCCGGUGGUCCUGAGGCCUAGGAAUUCAACCUCCUGUGCUCUUGAUCACAGAGGCUGCUCCCGCUGGAGCUGGGAGGAGGUUCCGAAGAGCUGUGGGUGUCACUGGAGGCAGAAGCAGAGGUCAGCGGGAAGCACCUGGCAAGUCUGACACAAUCUCGCCACUGUCCAACCUGAAUCCCGGGCAGGAGCUCCACCAUGUGCCGGGGGGCGGGGAACUCCCACACCCUGUCUUGCAGGCUUCUGGUGACGGCCGGUGACGUGAUUGCUUUCCAGGAAAACCCUGGGUUUGGGUCCUGUUAUCCAGGGGCCUCCACUGGGAAACUGAGGCUGCCCUGUGGGUCCCAGUCCAGGGGCUUGAGAUGGUGCCCACUGAGCUCUGCCUUUUCCUGGGCCCAUGGCUGCAGCUGGAAUGGGGCCCCUUCCUGACCAGGGCCACCACUUCCCUCUCUGCUGGGCUCUCUCCAAGGCACUGGGGCCUUUGCACGGCCCAGGAUCUUCCACAGCCUAUGGACCCCUACUAGGAUCAUAUUUUUAUGUAUAUAUGUAUGUAUGCACACAUGCAUAUAUGUAUGCAUUCAUGUACUCCUGAAUGCAUGCACAUGCGUACACAUACAAUGGUACCACAAACACUUUUGUUUAUAAACAGUUUGGUCUGAAAACAGAAGUCUUUGGCAAAAUUUUGAUUUUUUUGCAAACUCUGCAUUGGGUGACAAACAUGAUCAAGGCCAUCUUUCCCACACAAACACAAACGUGGCCAUCUGUCCCCAAACUGUAGAACAAAUUAUGAACCGAGGCACCACUGUACAUGUAUAUCCGCGUGUAUGAAUUCUGUGGUGCUGGGGAUCGAACCUGGGGCCUCACAAAUGCUAGAAAAGUGCUCUGCUGCCGAGCUUCAUCCCUAGCCCAGGAUAAUAUUUUUAAAUGCAUAAAAAAUCCCCACAAAGGAUUAUAAAGAAAAUCAAUUGAAAUAUAGCAAUCAAAAUAUUAAAAAUAAAUUUGGG